rnacentral:rRNA from 1 species
UACAGAGGGUGCAAGCGUUAAUCGGAAUUACUGGGCGUAAAGCGUGCGUAGACGGUUGCGUAAGUCAGAUGUGAAAGCCCCGGGCUCAACCUGGGAAUUGCAUUUGAGACUGCGUAGCUAGGGUGCGGAAGAGGGAAGCGGAACUUCCGGUGUAGCGGUGAAAUGCGUAGAUAUCGGAAGGAACACCAGUGGCGAAAGCGGCUUCCUGGUCCAGCACCGACGUUCAGGCACGAAAGCGUGGGGAGCAAACAGG